CCAUGACAAUAUCUCAAUGUUCUGCCAGAGUGAGGUAGUAGGUUGUGUAGUUUCAGGGUAGUGAUUUUGCCCCAUCAGAAGAUAACUAUACAACCUACUGCCUUCCCUGAAGAGCAGUAUGAUGACCUGCAACCUG
rnacentral:precursor_RNA from 17 species